CAAAUGCAUUGCCAUUUAUAGAAGAAAAUCGUAUUAUAGAAUAAAGACAAGAAGAAGAAUCUUUUGUUGCAUGUUCACAACCUUCAACAAAAGCAAACAAAGCAACAAUGAUAUCAUUUACCAUCUACAGAAGAUAAAGCAAUAAUGGUAUUAUUAAAGCGAAUCUAUGAUUUACCAGAAAAGUGCAAAUUAAGACAACGAAUUAAACGUCGCUGAAAGUGGAAUACGCAAGAAAAGUACGAAGUUUGCAACAAAAUUUACGUUGACGCAAUUAUUAAAUAGCUACAUUGAAAGAUGUUUUGAAUUUAUUAAAAAAAAACAAUUAUUAACUGAAAAUCAAAUAGUCAGCGACACUUUUUAAAUAAACUUACAUUAUUUAAAGGA